rnacentral:rRNA from 1 species
GUAGGGAAUAUUGGUCAAUGGGCGAGAGCCUGAACCAGCCAAGUCGCGUGAAGGAAGAAGGAUCUAUGGUUCGUAAACUUCUUUUGCAGGGGAAUAAAGUGCGGGACGUGUCCUGUUUUGUAUGUACCCUGAGAAUAAGGAUCGGCUAACUCCGUGCCAGCAGCCGCGGUAAUACGGAGGAUCCGAGCGUUAUCCGGAUUUAUUGGGUUUAAAGGGUGCGUAGGUGGUUUGAUAAGUCAGCGGUGAAAGUUUGCAGCUUAACUGUAAAAAUGCCGUUGAAACUGUCGGACUUGAGUGUAAAUGAGGUAGGCGGAAUGCGUGGUGUAGCGGUGAAAUGCAUAGAUAUCACGCAGAACUCCGAUUGCGAAGGCAGCUUACUAAGCUACAACUGACACUGAAGCACGAAAGCGUGGGGAUCAAACAGGAUUAGAUACCCUUGUAGUCC